CGGAAGGCAUUGUUUACCAGGUGAGCGAUUCAGGCUCUUGAGAGCCUCUUGUUGUUAAGGCUAUGGUGCAAAUAUAACAGCAAUGCACUAAAUCAAAGAAACUAUUUUAUCAAAUUCAGUUAAGAGGUUUAUAAAUGCACAUCGCUUGUACAAAAGAAAAUGUACAAAUUUAAAAAAAAACUAAGGCUUAUUUUAUACUUCAAAC
rnacentral:lncRNA from 1 species